rnacentral:rRNA from 1 species
UACAGGGGGUGCAAACGUUGCUCGGAAUUAUUGGGCGUAAAGCGCGCGUAGGCGGCCACUUAAGUCGGAUGUGAAAGCCCCUGGCUCAACUGGGGAAGUGCACCCGAAACUGAAUGGCUUGAGUGCGAAAGAGGGUCGCGGAAUUCCCGGUGUAGAGGUGAAAUUCGUAGAUAUCUGGAGGAACACCGGUGGCGAAGGCGGCAUCCUGGACCGGUAUUGACGCUGAGGAGCGAAAGCCAGGGGAGCAAACGGG